GACGAACGCUGGCGGCGUGCUUAACACAUGCAAGUCGAGCGGUAAGGCCCUUUCGGGGGUACACGAGCGGCGAACGGGUGAGUAACACGUGGGUGACCUGCCCUCAGCUCUGGGAUAAGCCUGGGAAACCGGGUCUAAUACCGGAUAUGACUCCAUGACGCAUGUUGUGGGGUGGAAAGCCUUGUGCGGCUGAGGAUGGGCCCGCGGCCUAUCAGCUUGUUGGUGGGGUGAUGGCCUACCAAGGCGACGACGGGUAGCCGGCCUGAGAGGGCGACCGGCCACACUGGGACUGAGACACGGCCCAGACUCCUACGGGAGGCAGCAGUGGGGAAUCUUAGCGCAAUGGGCGAAAGCCUGACGCAGCGACGCCGCGUGA
rnacentral:rRNA from 1 species